UCCGAGCAUUUUCCUUUCUUUCAGAGAAUUGCUCCGAAAAUGUCAGAAUACAAGCAGGGAGACGAAGAGGCCCUUUCUUCUUCCUGUCGCUAUAAGCCUAUACUUAUUGACUACUUGUUAAAGUUUUUGGUUAAAAACACGCGACUCUGCGAAGACUUCUGUUUGUUCUGAAUCCCAGAAGAGAAUCCACCAUGUCCUUCAUUCUAUGAGCUUUACUAGUUUACCUUCAAUGGUACUUCUUUUCACAAACUUUGCUUUCUCUGCUACUCCUUCCUCGUGCUACUUUUCCUGUCUGGGUUCGCUGUUAUUGAAGUGUUCUUGGCCUCCUCCUCCUCCUCCUCUUGGCUCAUACGAUUAAGGACACGGCAUUAUUAGAUGGAGAACAAUGGUGCUGAAAUUGUGGAGCUUACAUAUUAUUGUACCAUUAAGGUUCAUCGUUUGAUGUGUUUAGAGCUCAAGAAAUUUAUUGACAGAAUCACAGAAAUAUUUUCAGCCAUCGAGUCUGCCCGACCAAGAUGCAAACCAGGCAUACAGGCAUUAUGCUCAUUACAAGACACAAUGGAUAAAGCAAAAAUACUUAUCCAGCUCUGCUCAGAGUCUAGUAAACUCU